UACGGGGGGGGCAAGCGUUGUUCGGAAUUACUGGGCGUAAAGGGCUCGUAGGCGGCCAACUAAGUCGGAUGUGAAAUCCCCAGGCUCAACUUGGGAACUGCAUCCGAUACUGGAUGGCUUGAAUUCGGGAGAGGGAUGCAGAAUUCCAGGUGUAGCGGUGAAAUGCGUAGAUAUCUGGAGGAAUACCGGUGGCGAAGGCGGCAUCCUGGACCGGCAUUGACGCUGAGGCGCGAAAGCCAGGGGAGCAAACGGG
rnacentral:rRNA from 1 species